UGUACACACAAUGCAGCAAACCAGCGAACUGUUGUUGUCCAUCGAGGGGCCUCACCCGGAGGUGGGGCCGUCGACGGCGUGGCUCGGUUGAGAGGCCGGCCCGUGGGCGGAGCGGUUGCUCGUCGUCGGCUGGAGUGUCCCAUUCUUGCGGUUCCGGCUGUCUGAUGCUGGCAUCCCCGUAGGGGGAGUUGGCCGCAGGCGGUCGUGGUCGGGCACUCCCCUCCCCCUUUGGCUCCCGUCUUUGGGGGUCUCUGGGGCCGCUUUUUCACAAGCACUUUGAGUAACAUGAAUGCAGAGACUGAGCCUGGGGCAAGGCAUUGCCUUUGCUGGUGAUGCCGCCCGAGUCGAAAACCAAAAGAACGACUCUCAGCAACGGAUAUCUUGGCUCUUGCAACGAUGAAGAACGCAGCGAAAUGCGAUACCUAGUGUGAAUUGCAGAAUUCCGCGAAUCAUCGAGUCUUUGAACGCAAGUUGCGCCCGAGGCUUGUCCCGAGGGCAUGCCUGCCUGAGCGUCACCGCACUCCCGCCUGGACACUCUCCAGUGUGGAAUUGGCUGUCCGGGACCCGGUGUGAAAGCCGUUGGUCGUGGUCGGCUGAAAUGUAGCUUAUCUGGAUGCAGCCCAUGAGAGAGGCCGCGAGAAGGUGAUCCGCUCAUUGUUGGGUGGAGUCUAAUUGGACAGCGUCUCUCUCUUGGGUGAUCCGGUUGGCGGCAAAUGGGGUGUAGUCCCCGUGUGCCAUGUUGGGGGGUGCAAGCCCUCCAGUACCGCUUGGACCUCAGAUCAGGCAAGAUUAC
rnacentral:rRNA from 1 species